CCUACGGGAGGCAGCAGUGAGGAAUAUUGGUCAAUGGACGGAAGUCUGAACCAGCCAUGCCGCGUGCAGGAAGACGGCUCUAUGAGUUGUAAACUGCUUUUGUACAAGGGUAAACCUGAAUACGUGUAUUCAGCUGAAAGUACUGUACGAAUAAGGAUCGGCUAACUCCGUGCCAGCAGCCGCGGUAAUACGGAGGAUCCAAGCGUUAUCCGGAUUUAUUGGGUUUAAAGGGUGCGUAGGCGGAUUGUUAAGUUAGAGGGGAAAUGUCCGAGCUUAACUCGGGAACUGCCGCUAAUACUGUUGAUCUAGAGAGUAGAUGCGGUAGGCGGAAUGUAUGGUGUAGCGGUGAAAUGCUUAGAGAUCAUGCAGAACACCGAUUGCGAAGGCAGCUUACCAAUCUAUAUCUGACGUUGAGGCACGAAAGCGUGGGGAGCAAACAGGAUUAGAUACCCUUGUAGUC
rnacentral:rRNA from 1 species